GAUGAACGCUGACAGAAUGCUUAACACAUGCAAGUCUUUGGCGAAGCUGUGCUUGCACAGCCUAGCCAAGGCGGACGGGUGAGUAACGCGUAAGGAACUUGCCCUGCAGUCAGGGAUAACAGACGGAAACGACUGAUAAAACCUGAUAAAGUCAGACGGACUCAUGUCCAGCCUGAUGAAAAGAAAUGCUGCAGGAGAGCCUUGCGUCCUAUUAGCUUGUUGGUGGGGUAACGGCCCACCAAGGCGAUGAUAGGUAGCCGGCCUGAGAGGGUGGACGGCCACAAGGGGACUGAGAUACGGCCCUUACUCCUACGGGAGGCAGCAGUGGGGAAUAUUGGACAAUGGGGGCAACCCUGAUCCAGCAAUUCUGUGUGCACGAUGAAGGUUUUCGGAUUGUAAAGUGCUUUCAGCAGGGAAGAAAAAAAUGACGGUACCUGCAGAAGAAGCGACGGCUAAAUACGUGCCAGUAGCCGCGGUAAUACGUAUGUCGCAAGCGUUAUCCGGAAUUAUUGGGCAUAAAGGGCAUCUAGGCGGCCAGAUAAGUCUGGGGUGAAAACUUGCAGCUCAACCGCAAGCCUGCCCUGGAAACUAUGUGGCUAGAGUACUGGAGAGGUGGACGGAACUGCACGAGUAGAGGUGAAAUUCGUAGAUAUGUGCAGGAAUGCCGAUGAUGAAGAUAGUUCACUGGACGGUAACUGACGCUGAAGUGCGAAAGCUAGGGGAGCAAACAGG
rnacentral:rRNA from 1 species